rnacentral:rRNA from 1 species
GACGAACGCUGGCGGCGUGCUUAACACAUGCAAGUCGAGCGGAAAGGCCCUUCGGUUUUCUCAAGCGGCGAACGGGUGAGUAACACGUUAGUAAUCUGCCCUUCGCUUUGUGAUAACUAGCGAAAACGGUGGCUAAUAUCGUAUACGACAACCGUCUCUAUGGGCUGGUUGUGUAAAGUUUUUUCGUCCAGGGAUGUGCUCGCGGCCUAUCAGCUCGUUGGUUGGGUAAUGGCCUACCAAGGCUUCGACGGGUAGCCGGACUGAAUGGGUGACCGGCCACACUGGGACUGAGACACGGCGCGGAGUACCACGGGAGGCAGCAGUGGGGAAUAUUGGAGACUGGGCGGACGACUGAUCCAGAAACGCCGAGUGAGGGAUGACGGAAUUCGGGUUGUAAACAUAUGUAAGUACCGACGAAGGGACGAUGAUGGUGGUGACGGUAGGUACCGAAGAAGCAACGGCCAACUACGUG